rnacentral:rRNA from 1 species
CAGUAGCCGCGGUAAUACGUAGGUGGCAAGCGUUGUCCGGAAUUAUUGGGCGUAAAGGGCUCGCAGGCGGUUUCUUAAGUCUGAUGUGAAAGCCCCCGGCUCAACCGGGGAGGGUCAUUGGAAACUGGGAAACUUGAGUGCAGAAGAGGAGAGUGGAAUUCCACGUGUAGCGGUGAAAUGCGUAGAGAUGUGGAGGAACACCAGUGGCGAAGGCGACUCUCUGGUCUGUAACUGACGCUGAGGAGCGAAAGCGUGAGGAGCGAACAGGAUUAGAUACCCCCGUAGUCCCUGUCUCUUAUAC